GUUAGUUUCAGUCUGUUAUGGUGUUGCAAACAUAGAUAUAUUAACUAGAUGCCUCGUCCGCGCUGCUGGCCAAUGGAGUCGAACGUCACCACUAAAGGCCAUAUUACCACAGUAAGCUGCUCACCCAUAACAUUGUGUUGGUAGUGGUACACGUACUUUUUAAAUAACCAUAACUUCCUCAAUUUUCAACCGAUUUCCAAACGGUUUUGUUUGUUAUAAACGUGAUGUAGGCUAGUUAUGACUCUGCAUGCUUUUGAUAGAAUAAUGAAAAAUAGAAUAAUGUUCCAAAAUAGGUACAAUAUCAUAACCACGUUAAUAACGUUUGUAAUAAACCAAACCGUUCGUAAAUCGGUUGAAAAUUGAGCAAGUUAUGGUUAUUUUAAAAGUACAUGUACCACUACCAACACAAUUUUAUGGGUGAGCAGCACCUUACUGUGGUAAGAUUGCCGCCUAUGGUGACGUUCUAGACCAGCAUUAGGGCGAAAAGUGUAUUUUCCCCUCCGUUUUCCUUGGCUGCGAUUCAGAAAUAUCUCCGUAAAGAUGGACUCAUUGCGAAAACGCAUUGCUGGUACUCCCUUUUAAUGUACAGUUGGUAAUUACAUUUACCCAGGGGCUGUAUUAGAAGCUACAAAAAUAAGGUGUAGGAAAAGCAAGUCGAAUAAUGUUAUACUAGAUACCAUGGAUUGGUCACAAAUAUCAGUCUAGAAAUAGCUGAAAUGUUGUUUAUUACACUACAGGAUUAUUGCCUUUAUUACAACUGAGUUGAAAGACUGAAAGUCUUGUUUUAUGGUUAAAUCUCGCUUAACUUAAAUUAAGGAAUUUGUCAUUUUUAUACAAUGGUAUUUCUAAUGAUGUUUUUCUUGUUUAUGUUCACAGCAAAACUUAAACAAUGGCAAAGGGAGGUUUAAAAAAGGCAUGCGCUGCAUGUCAGGUCCCCAUUUAUAAUGGGUUUAAAAUAUGCCCCACGUGCAAGGAACCACAGCCGCAAAAAAUUAGGCUAAAAAAAAAACUGGACAAGUUUCUAAAUCAGAAAGAUGCAUGGGUGGCCAACACCAAACGUAAUCAGGUCACCUCACAUCUUUUCGAUGAUGCUGUCAUUCUGGUAAGUAACAUUACCAUAGUACUAAUGUUAGGUUAAGAAUGUGGCGUCAACAUCAGCUCUUCUAUAAGUAAAAGUGUGCCUCUGAGUUGCUAUUGAAACGUAAUGCUGUGGAGCUUGUGUCUCCAUAUAUCUCUGGCACAAUUUAUUAUUGUUUUUAAAGUUUUCUCUAUUUUUUUAGGUUGAGAAGAUGAAUGCAUUGGGCUGGAGGCCCAUCCUCCUUCUUGAAUAUCCCAAGAAGGAGGCAAAGAUGGUCCUCCCAGAGGGGCUUAUUUCUGGUGUUGGUGAACAGAAAUGUUUGGAUAACAUAAAAUAAAUUUACAGCCUAAUUGUAGAAGGAAAGAAAGUGCCAUCAGAUCCUGCCACAAGUAUGCCACAGGGUCAAGGAGAGGCCAUUUAUAUUUUAAAUUUCGAGCCCGAAGACCCAAUGCAAAUACAAGAGACUCUCCAUUCAGCCACCCCUACCACCACCACCAACGAGGGGUUAGAGCUGUGUUCAGCUAGUGUUGAACCUGAGACAGGUAACCCAAAAAAUCUUCAAUGAAAAGACCAUAAUUCGGAGUGCUUAGCUUAAUUAUUGCUGUUCAAAUUUGUUGUGCCAUAUUUCAAUUUUUUUGUAGAAUUUCCUUGAGCAGCCACACAUACGGUAUAUAUCUGACCUGCUUGCUUAUUUUAUAUUCUGUGUGUACACCUUUAGUGGAGACUGUCCUGAUGACAAGCGCUGCCACUGCCACCGCCACCGAGGAGGGCACAGAGCCAAAAAAGAGAAAAGGAUUCCCAAGGACAAGAGGUGUACCUAAUCAACACAAAGCUGAUAUUCUGCCAUCUUUCACAUUAUCCCUCCUAAGUUAAAUAUUUAAUUUGUUUUGCAUGUCUUCUUUCUGAAAUGAACAUAAUCGAUUAAGUUCAUUUCCAUGCGCAAUGUCACACAUACCCUUCUCUCUUUAUGGAGUUACAAGUUACAACAAAUACAUCUAAUCUCUAGACUGUUGAACUUGUGCUAUAUUUCACUUUUUUUGUAGAAUUUCCUUUAGCAGCCACACAUACGGUGUAUAUCUGACCUGCUUGCUUAUUUUAUAUUCUGUCUGUACACCUUUAGUGGAGACUGUCCUGAUGACAAGCGCUGCCACUGCCACCGACAAGGGUACACAGCCCAAAAAGAGAGAAAGAGUCCCAAGGACAUACCGGUACAACAAAUACAUCUAAUCUGUAGACUAUUAUAUGAUAAAUUACAUGGUAUGCUUGUUAUUUGAUUUCUGCAUGUAUGUUAACAUUUGGAUUAACAUACCACUAUUUGCUUGUGUCAAACAGUUUCUAAAAAAGAAAAGGAUUGCCCCGACAACAGCCAGAAGCUGCACCGCGGGAAAAUCUGGCUGCCAACCUGGGAGGCUGCUUGAUAGACAAAUUCACUCACUCACUCUGAUUACAUAAGUUAAACUAAUG